GUGUGAUAACGUCUGACCUUGUAGUCUUAACUGAGAGCGACUUCUACAUAUGUGCAAAGGGUGUCAUAGAGAAGAGAAAGAUAAUAAAGCAAGAGAAGGGUUACAGCGAUAUAACGGCAUAGCUCAAGCUACCUAGCUAAUCACAUGUGCCAAAGAGGCCUAUUCUAACAAACCGUGAGGAAUUAGGAUGUGG